UAUGUUUGAAACUUAUACUUUAGUUUAAUUUUUCAUAUUAAGUGCAUACAUCGAAGCUAUGAAGAAAAUGAUAAAAAAUAUACUGAAAAAAUAAGAUAGAUUUAUAUGUUUUUCGUUUUAAGCAAUCAUAUUUUACUACUAUUUCAGCUAUUUCUAUUGGUAUGGCGUAGUACAUUGUGCGAUUGACAGACUAUAUUUCUGUACGUGACGAAUUCUUCUGUGUUACAGGUUACGGCCGUUCAAUGAAAAUUCCUGGCGUAAUAAAACCGGACACGGAGUGACACGGAGCAGAUAAAACUUCAACGAAAUAAGCUAUGUAAAUAAACGCAUGCGAAGGGGGAUAAAGAGGGUGAUACGAGAGUGGCCAGCGAAACGAGGUCAUUGGUAGCUUUUUCUCCCCUUCCCUCCCCUCCCCCGUUCAUUUUUACGCUCGCCAGCGGAGAAACCCCAGGUGAGAUGUUUGCCUGUUCGAGAUAAUUACGGCCACUAUGUAUUCCGUAUAAUCUCUAAUUAUAGAUAUAGAUAUAUUCCCUUAACGUGGCUUCAGUUCCCUUUUUUUUUUUUUUUUUUUUUUCCGUUUCAUCCGCCGCAGGGAAAUUCAUCUAUGAUUAAAAAGAUAGAAUGAUAUUUUUAUCGAUCGAUUUUCCCAUAUUAUUCCAUACGUAACGUAUUUUUAUUUUUGAGCUCGUCUCUUUUCGUGCAUUUGU